GUCCUUUUGAAUUUUAUUUAAGGUCUGACCUGCCCACUGAUUUAUUUAAUGGCCGCGGUAUUUUGACCGUGCAAAGGUAGCAUAAUAAUUUGUCUUUUAAUUGAAGGCUCGUAUGAAUGGUUGGACGAGAAAACUUCUUUCUUUAUUAUAAUUUAAUGAAUUUUAUUUUUUAGUUAAAAAGCUGAAAUGUUGUUGUAGGACGAGAAGACCCUAUAGAACUUUAUAUUUAUUUUUAUAUUAAUAUUUUUAGGUUAUAAUUUAUUAUAUAAUUAUAAUUAUUUUGUUGGGGCGACAAGAAAAUUUAUUUAACUUUUUUUUUUUAUUUCACUAAUUGGUGUUUAUAUGAUCCUAUAUUACGGAUAAUUAGAAUAAGUUACCUUAGGGAUAACAGCGUAAUUUUUUUGGAGAGUUCUUAUCGAUAAAGAAGUUUGCGA
rnacentral:rRNA from 1 species